rnacentral:rRNA from 1 species
GAUGAACGCUGGCGGCGUGCCUAAUACAUGCAAGUCGAGCGAACAGACGAGGAGCUUGCUCCUCUGACGUUAGCGGCGGACGGGUGAGUAACACGUGGAUAACCUACCUAUAAGACUGGGAUAACUUCGGGAAACCGGAGCUAAUACCGGAUAAUAUAUUGAACCUCAUUUUUCUAUAGUGAAAGACGGUUUUGCUGUCACUUAUAGAUGGAUCCGCGCCGCAUUAGCUAGUUGGUAAGGUAACGGCUUACCAAGGCGACGAUGCGUAGCCGACCUGAGAGGGGGAUCGGCCACACUGGAACUGAGACACGGUCCAGACUCCUACGGGAGGCAGCAGUAGGGAAUCUUGCGAAAUGGGCGAAAGCAUGACGGAGCAACGGCGCGGGAGUGAUGAAGGUCUUCGGAUCGUAAAACGAUGUUAAGAGGAAAGAACAAAUGUGUAAGUAACUAUGAACGGCUCGACGGUACAUAAUAAGAAAGCAACGGCUAACUACGU